UAGGGAAUCUUCCACAAUGGACGCAAGUCUGAUGGAGCAACGCCGCGUGAGUGAAGAAGGUCUUCGGAUCGUAAAGCUCUGUUGUUGGUGAAGAAGGAUAGAGGCAGUAACUGGUCUUUAUUUGACGGUAAUCAACCAGAAAGUCACGGCUAACUACGUGCCAGCAGCCGCGGUAAUACGUAGGUGGCAAGCGUUGUCCGGAUUUAUUGGGCGUAAAGCGAGCGCAGGCGGAAUGAUAAGUCUGAUGUGAAAGCCCACGGCUCAACCGUGGAACUGCAUCGGAAACUGUCAUUCUUGAGUGCAGAAGAGGAGAGUGGAACUCCAUGUGUAGCGGUGGAAUGCGUAGAUAUAUGGAAGAACACCAGUGGCGAAGGCGGCUCUCUGGUCUGCAACUGACGCUGAGGCUCGAAAGCAUGGGUAGCGAACAGGAUUAGAUACCCUGGUAGUCCAUGCCGUAAACGAUGAGCGCUAGGUGUUG
rnacentral:rRNA from 1 species